rnacentral:rRNA from 1 species
UACGUAGGGUGCGAGCGUUAAUCGGAAUUACUGGGCGUAAAGCGUGCGCAGGCGGCUUUUUAAGCCAGAUGUGAAAUCCCCGGGCUUAACCUGGGAACUGCAUUUGGAACUGGAAGGCUAGAGUGCGGCAGAGGGGGGUAGAAUUCCACGUGUAGCAGUGAAAUGCGUAGAGAUGUGGAGGAAUACCGAUGGCGAAGGCAGCCCCCUGGGUCGACACUGACGCUCAUGCACGAAAGCGUGGGGAGCAAACAGGAUUAGAUACCCUGGUAGUCCACGCCCUAAACGAUGUCAACUGGUUGUUGGGGGAGUGAAAUCCCUUAGUAACGAAGCUAACGCGUGAAGUUGACCGCCUGGGGAGUACGGUCGCAAGAUUAAAACUCAAAGGAAUUGACGGGGACCCGCACAAGCGGUGGAUGAUGUGGAUUAAUUCGAUGCAACGCGAAGAACCUUACCUACCCUUGACAUGUCCGGAACUUGCCAGAGAUGGCUUGGUGCCCGAAAGGGAACCGGAACACAGGUGCUGCAUGGCUGUCGUCAGCUCGUGUCGUGAGGUGUUGGGUUAAGUCCCGCAACGAGCGCAACCCUUGUCCUUAGUUGCUACGCAAGGGCACUCUAAGGAGACUGCCGGUGACAAACCGGAGGAAGGUGGGGAUGACGUCAAGUCCUCAUGGCCCUUAUGGGUAGGGCUUCACACGUCAUACAAUGGUCGGUACAGAGGGUUGCCAAGCCGCGAGGUGGAGCCAAUCCCACAAAGCCGAUCGUAGUCCGGAUUGUUCUCUGCAACUCGAGAGCAUGAAGUCGGAAUCGCUAGUAAUCGCAGGUCAGCAUACUGCGGUGAAUACGUUCCCGGGUCU